CCUAAGUGAUUUAGGAGCCUGGGUUCUUUCCUUCGGAUUUAAAAGCUUUGGAAAAACUUUGCCCGUCAUUCUCAGUUGUGCAUUCCUCGGUUUCUACUGUAGACCUCACUUCCCAAAGGCAGGAGCCCCUCUUUUUUCGUAUCUGGAACCUCAGCGAGGUUUGCAAUUGCACACCAAUUCACAUUACAGCACUCUCCUCUGUUCCAAACUUCCUCACCCCCUCCCCAUCAAUGCUCCUCCGCCUAGACCUGCACCAGUCCUAAUGUUCCAGUCCUGGGGCUCUGUGACAGAACAAACUCUCACAUGAGUGGAGAAAAAAAACCUGCGGUGGGUGGUGGUUUUCACUUGAAAAUGCGAACUAGGGUGUGGUCCUACAGACUGCAAUUACCUAUUAAUCCUCUCAUCAGAGGCGGCUAGAAAACGAAGGCACCUGGGAUUUGUACGAGCCAGACUCAGCUCAUUCUAAGGAGAGGAGAAGUUAUAUUUGGGAAGUUUAGCAUAGUGCUACAGGGGGGAAAUGGUUUCAGAGAAGAAGCAGUUAUCUUGAGGAAGAGAGACUGAGUUUAGAGCAAGUUAGGUACAGGUUGGAACCUGCCUCUCUCCAGGAAGCUUUGGAUUUGCCAGAGAGGAACAAGUUUGCCCCAGGAAAAAAUCAAAGAACCAAAUGACAACCUGCUACACAUGGGGGAGAAUGGGCAGUGUAAACCCCGACGUCAGCCAUGGAGACUGGAACCCUGCUAAAAUGGCUGGAGGGACUGAAGCAGCAACAGCUGUUACAGCAGCUCCAAACCUAGCAACAGCAACUCCAGGGAGAGCAGAAACAAAAACUGCAGCAGUUUUGGCAAGAGCAGUAGCAGCAAGGAGUUCCUGAUACAGCAAUUGAAUGUGAGAUGGACCCCUGCCCACAUUGGUUGCGUUAAAACCAGCACCUGUUGGGACUUGAAUUUGAGUUUAACCAAAAAUAAAAAUAAAAAAGGAGGAAGGUAUUUUUUUUCCUUCUCCCCCC